GAUGAACGCUAGCGGUGUGCCUGAGAUAUGCAAGUCGAGCGUCGUCUGAUUUCCUUCGGGAAUGAAAGAUGUAGCGGCGGACGGCUGAGUAACACGUGGGAACUUGCCCCAAGGUAGAGGAUAGCCACUCGAAAGAGUGGGUAAUACGCUAUAUGAUCUCCGGAUCAAAGCGCUUAACCGCGCGCCAUGGGAUAGGCCUGCGUCCUAUCAGGUAGUUGGUGAGGUAAUGGCUCACCAAGCCUAUGACGGGUAGCUGGCCCGAGAGGGUGGUCAGCCAGAAGAGCACUGAGACACGGGCUCUACUCCUACGGGAGGCAGCAAUCAGGAAUAGUCGGCAAUGGGCGAAAGCCUGACCGCGCGACACCGCGUGUAGGAAGACACUCUAACGAGCGUAAACUACUGUGGUAGGGGAAGAAGUUCUAGUUUACUAGAAUUGACGGUACCCUAUUAGAAAGGAGCCGCUAACUGCGUGCCAGAAGCGUCGGUAAUACGUGGGCUCCAAGCGUUAUCCGGUGUCAUUGGGCGUAAAGUGUCGUGUAGGCGUCUUGCAAAGUUUUUAUUUAAACCCUAUGGCUCAACCAUAGACUCGAUAAAAAUACUGGCAGGAUAGAAUUUUCUCAAGGGGGACUGGAACUCAUAGAGUAGCAGUGAAAUGCGUUGAUACUAUGAGGAACAUCAGUGGCGAAGGCGAGUCCCUGGGAGAUUAUUGACGCUGAGACACGAAAGCUAGGGGAGCAAAGCAGAUUAGAGACCUGCGUAGUCCUAGCCCUAAACCAUGCUUGCUAGCUGCCUUGAUUCGAAUUUAUUCGAUUUGGGGUGGCGAAGGUAACCCGUUAAGCAAGCCGCCUGGGGAGUACGGUCGCAAGGCUGAAACUCAAAGGAAUUGGCGGGGAGGCACACAACCAGAGGAACAUGUGGUUUAAUUCGAAACAAACCGAAGAACCUCACCAGGGUUUGACAUCUUAGAGAAAGCUUGAUGAAAGUCGAGCCCUCCGCAAGGACUGUAAGACAGGUGCUGCAUGGCUGUCGUCAGCUCGUUCCGUGAGGAGUACCCUUAAGUGGGACAACGAGCGCAACCCCUAUCUUAUGUUACACGUAUCAUAAGAGACUGCCCCAUCUUUGAUGGGGAGGAAGGAAGGGCAGACGUCAAGUCAGCAUGGCCCUUAUACCCUGGGCUACACACAUGUUACAAUGAGUAUUAACAAUGGGCUGCGACCUGGUAACAGGAAGCGAAUCUCAUAAAUAUGCUCUCAGUGGGGAUUGAGGUCUGCAACUCGACCUCAUGAACGCGGAUUUGGUAGUAAUCGCGGAUCAGCUAUGCCGCGGUGAAUACGUUCUUGCCUCUUGCACACACCGCCCGUCAAGCCAACAAAGUUGGUAUUGUCUGAACUCCGCCUCUGGCGGAGGAGGUCAGUAUCGGCGAUGGGGGUU
rnacentral:rRNA from 1 species